AAUCUGAAGGUCUUUCUAUCACCCAAAAACUCUUGAAACCAUGCAUAAGGAUGGAUAUGGCUGUUGAAGGUUUAUGGACUGUGUAAGGAAAAGCAAUGAAGAAAUCAGCAUUCUGGGAAUCAUACAAUGAACUCUGGAGGGAAGCAUACAAAUAAACUGCGUAGGCCAAGUGUAAGAAAGAACAGCAGAAGAGA